UAAACUUCAGUUUACUGGAGAAGUGUGUCUUAAGUGAUGUCAUCAACUUAAUACCUCACAGGGAUCUCUGGGGCUCAGUGCACUGUCUCUCCCAGAUGCAGCAAACUCUCCUGGUUGGAUGGAUAGCACUUCAGCAGUCUGGACUUCAAGUUUCUGUGUUUGAUUGGAGCACAGGCCCAUCUCCAUCUUGACCUGAAAAAAUAUCAGAUAUGGUCAGUUUAGAAACAAAAGAAGAUUGUGGAAAGAUGGAAGACCUCAAAUACAGGAAACACUGCCUUAAAAAAGGAAAGCUUUUUUAAGAAAGAACAAACAAGGGAGGAUGUAUUUAAGCUGCAGCAUUAUUCUGUUAAAUAUGGGAAGGCAUGAGGCCCUCCAGUGCUACCCCUGGCCUUUCCCAAACUCAGGAAUUUGCAUGAACAAAUGUCAAUUUGUGGGAUAUUUGUGA
rnacentral:lncRNA from 1 species